AGAGUUUGAUCCUGGCUCAGGAUGAACGCUGGCGGCGUGCCUAAUACAUGCAAGUCGAACGAGUUCUGAUUAUUGAAAGGUGCUUGCAUCUUGAUUUAAUUUUGAACGAGUGGCGGACGGGUGAGUAACACGUGGGUAACCUGCCCUUAAGUGGGGGAUAACAUUUGGAAACAGAUGCUAAUACCGCAUAAAUCCAAGAACCGCAUGGUUCUUGGCUGAAAGAUGGCGUAACUAUCGCUUUUGGAUGGACCCGCGGCGUAUUAGCUAGUUGGUGAGGUAACGGCUCACCAAGGCAAUGAUACGUAGCCGAACUGAGAGGUUGAUCGGCCACAUUGGGACUGAGACACGGCCCAAACUCCUACGGGAGGCAGCAGUAGGGAAUCUUCCACAAUGGACGCAAGUCUGAUGGAGCAACGCCGCGUGAGUGAAGAAGGCUUUCGGGUCGUAAAACUCUGUUGUUGGAGAAGAAUGGUCGGCAGAGUAACUGUUGUCGGCGUGACGGUAUCCAACCAGAAAGCCACGGCUAACUACGUGCCAGCAGCCGCGGUAAUACGUAGGUGGCAAGCGUUAUCCGGAUUUAUUGGGCGUAAAGCGAGCGCAGGCGGUUUUUUAAGUCUGAUGUGAAAGCCCUCGGCUUAACCGAGGAAGUGCAUCGGAAACUGGGAAACUUGAGUACAGAAGAGGACAGUGGAACUCCAUGUGUAGCGGUG
rnacentral:rRNA from 1 species